rnacentral:rRNA from 1 species
ACUACGGGCGGCAGCAGUGGGGAAUAUUGGGCAAUGGGCGCAAGCCUGACCCAGCAACGCCUCGUGAAGGAAGAAGGCUUUCGGGUUGUAAACUUCUUUUCUCAGGGACGAAGAAAGUGACGGUACCUGAGGAAUCAGCCACGGCUAACUACGUGCCAGCAGCCGCGGUAAUACGUAGGUGGCAAGCGUUAUCCGGAUUUACUGGGUGUAAAGGUCGUGUAGGCGGGACUGCAAGUCAGAUGGGAAAACCACGGGCUCAACCUGUGGCCUGGAUUUGAAACUGUAGUUCUUGAGUACUUGAGAGGCAGACGGAAUUCCUAGUGUAGCGGUGAAAUGCGUAGAUAUUA